GAUGAACGCUGACAGAAUGCUUAACACAUGCAAGUCGACUGGAAUUCACCUUCGGGUGAUAGUACGGUGGCGGACGGGUGAGUAACGCGUAAAGAACUUGCCCUCUAGACUGGGACAACUGUUGGAAACGACAGCUAAUACCGGAUAUUAUGAGACCUCGGCAUCAAGGACUUAUGAAAGCUAUAUGAGCUGGAGGAGAACUUUGCGUCCCGUUAGGUAGUUGGUAGGGUAAUGGCCUACCAAGCCGACGAUGGCUAGCCGGCCUGAGAGGGUGAUCGGCCACAAGGGGACUGAGACACGGCCCUUACUCCUACGGGAGGCAGCAGUGGGGAAUAUUGGACAAUGGACCAAAAGUCUGAUCCAGCAAUUCUGUGUGCACGAUGGAGGUCUUCGGAUUGUAAAGUGCUUUCAGGUGGGAAGAAGAAAGUGACGGUACCACCAGAAGAAGCGACGGCUAAAAUACGUGCCAGCCG
rnacentral:rRNA from 1 species